GCGGGAAAAGCUCAAGUUUGAAAUCUGGCGGGCGACCGUCCAGAGUUGUAAGCUGGAGAGGUGUCGUCGGAUGCGGUCCGGGCUCAAUUUCCUUGGAACAGGAGGUCAUGGAGGGUGAGAACCCCGUAUGUGGCUUGGGUGCCGUGGUCCUUGUGACGUAUCCUCUAAGAGUCGGGUUGUUUGGGAAUGCAGCUCAAAAUGGGUGGUAAAUUUCAUCUAAAGCUAAAUAUUGGUGAGAGACCGAUAGCAAACAAGUAGAGUGAUCGAAAGAUGAAAAGUACUUUGAAAAGAGAGUGAAACAGUACGUGAAAUUGUUGAAAGGGAAGCGUUUGGCAUCAGCCCAUGGCGGCGGUCGAACAUCUGGGCUUCUGCCCAGUGCACUCGGCAGUCGCCGGGCCAGCGUCGGUUCCACCUGCUGGAGAAAGGCCUUGGGGAAGUGGCACUCCCUUGUGGAGUGUGUUAUAACCCAUGGCGUCAUGCGGCUUGGUGGGGCCGAGGUCCGCGGUUUUGUCCUAGGACGCUGGCGUAAUGGUUCCAAGCGACCCGUCUUG
rnacentral:rRNA from 1 species